rnacentral:lncRNA from 1 species
AGAAUAGAGCGUAGUUAUUUCACGGAACUAUUAUAUUUUUCGAAACUUUUAAACGUUAUAACCUCUCUAACCAUGCGAUUAUAUAUUCGCGUAUAAACAUCGAAAACUUCAAGUCGAAUGUUAAUACAACAAGGACGACAACUCGUGCCCCGACAGUCUUGCCAACGUCUAAACGCUGUCUGAUCCCUCGGUUGGGAAACAAGUUCAAGGAGACUCGUCCAAUUGACACAUCGGGAGGCACGUUUCCAGAUCAAGUUCAUCGAAUCGGAAGAACGAUAUUAUUAACGACUCGAUUCUCGUUUUUUCUCGUAGGAGAAGCCGCGUACAGAUUACCAAGUAAUCCACGGCCUCAUUACCGACGCCAAUUAUCGAAUGGGACGAAUCGAUCGGUGGCAAACGAUCCCCGCCGACUCUCAAUCAACUUUCCGAGGCGAAGGACGCUGAUCGACGACGAGCAGCCGGAUGACGAUCGACUGCAAUUUCGAUGAUGAUACGGAAUUAUCCAUCCGAGAGAAGGGAGAUAGCAGCCGGGCCCCGCGAACAACGAAGUACACACACACCCCACCACCUCUUGGUCGAUACGUGUAUCGGGCCGGUGUACGGAGAGGACUUGUGGAGAGGCUUUAUUACACGUAGGACGGAGUGGAAGGACGAUCACGGAUCCGCGGGCGAACUUCGUUACGGACCUAUGUGAUUUUCCAUGCAAAUUGAGUUGUUCGCCUGUCAUUAUGCUAAUAAAAGUAAUGACGCGUCGCGUAUGUACCGAGUAAUGCAGCUGCUGUAAUGAACCACGGUGUAGUAUAUCGGCUUUGGAGGUCUUCGCCACCGUUUCGAGAAGCGUGACACCGCGACGUUUUCCACGCUUUUGUGGAGCACAACACCUGGCUGAACCGAGAAAAUAUCGUUAAAGAGAGUUGGUUAGAUUUGUACGAGUAACCUUUGGUAACCAGGUUAUUCGUUUAAAUUAAAUGAAAUGCGAUCUUCUCUUCUUCGUUGCAUUGUUUUGAUACUCGUCUCUCGUUUUCAACCAUUAAUCUCAUUCGCGCCGUGAUCUAUAUAUUGUGUAACGUAUAUUACCAUACCUUUUAUUAGCCCGAGUGUGUAUAUUCAUUCUCAUAACCUAGAGAAAUAACCUAACCUCAAAUAUGAUUUUCUCUUUAUUAUUAUCAUCUUGUUUCGACCCGUUAAAGAUCGAGUGUAUUUCUAAUUAAGUAAAAUAAAUAAAUAAAUAAGUAAUUAUCACGUCAAAUAUCGCACGUUAUGUAAACACGUUGUUUAUACAACAAGAGGCGCACUAUUAAUUACAAUUUCAUUGUACACCAUCGAUUGUUUUUGUAUACUUGCGGUGCACGUGCACAUGCCUUGACCAUCUUAUCUAAUGAUAAAUCGUUCACAAGGGAAGUGGAUAAAUGACAUCUGUCCGGUUAAUUAGUUCGAGAAAUGUCGCGGCGCGGUGUAUGCGUGAGGAAAGAGAAUGAAGGGUAUGGAAGUUUGUUCUGGAAAUCUGAUCGAGAAACAUGUGCAUAUUUUUUCUUUUUUAUUUAUUAUCUUUGUUUUUAAUAACGGGUUACGAUCAUAUCGAUACAGAAAGUAAAUAUCAAGGGGAAUCGGGGGAAUUUUUCGAGAGAAUAAUAGGGUGAGAUGAUGGUAAUUAUCGCGAAUGAUGUUUAUAAUUAUUUCGUUAACCCUUUGCAUUAACGCAUUUGCAUCGUCGUUACGUGAACACGCGAGAAAUUUAACUUUAUACAUUACAUAAAUAUCUUUUUUCUUGCGUUUACGAUCGAAUUUACAAUUACUCGUGGAAAUGAUAAUUAUUUUUCUGAAAUUCACGAGACUGUGAAAGUUAAUUCAGAUAUAUGUAUCAUUACUUACUUUUUACUUUGUCAUUAUCUUUUACGAAUUUUUUUUUUUUUCUUUUCAGUGUAAAGAAUUAAAA